rnacentral:rRNA from 1 species
UACGUAGGGGGCGAGCGUUGUCCGGAUUUAUUGGGCGUAAAGAGCGUGUAGGCGGCCAGGUAGGUCUGCUGUGAAAACUCGGGGCUCAACCCCGAGCCUGCUUUCGAUACGGGCGGACUAGAGGUAGGUAGGGGAGAACGGAAUUCCUGGUGUAGCGGUGGAAUGCGCAGAUAUCAGGAGGAACACCGGUGGCGAAGGCGGUUCUCUGGGCCUUACCUGACGCUGAGGAGCGAAAGCGUGGGGAGCGAACAGG